GGUUAAGUGACUAAGCGUAUACGGUGGAUGCCUAGGCAGUUAGAGGCGAUGAAGGACGUGUAAGUCUGCGAAAAGUUGUGGGGAGCCGACAAAAUGCUUUGAUCCACAAAUAUCCGAAUGGGGAAACCCACCGCUUCGGCGGUAUUGUAACGUGAAUACAUAGCGUU
rnacentral:rRNA from 1 species